rnacentral:rRNA from 1 species
UACAGAGGGGGCAAGCGUUGUUCGGAAUUACUGGGCGUAAAGGGCGCGUAGGCGGCCUGUUAAGUCGAACGUGAAAUCCCCGGGCUCAACCCGGGAACUGCGUCCGAUACUGGCAGGCUUGAAUUCGGGAGAGGGAUGCGGAAUUCCAGGUGUAGCGGUGAAAUGCGUAGAUAUCUGUAGGAACACCGGUGGCGAAGGCGGCAUCCUGGACCGAGAUUGACGCUGAUGCGCGAAAGCCAGGGGAGCAAACGGG